GAUGAACGCUGGCGGCGUGCCUAAUACAUGCAAGUCGAGCGAACGGACGAGAAGCUUGCUUCUCUGAUGUUAGCGGCGGACGGGUGAGUAACACGUGGAUAACCUACCUAUAAGACUGGGAUAACUUCGGGAAACCGGAGCUAAUACCGGAUAAUAUUUUGAACCGCAUGGUUCAAAAGUGAAAGACGGUCUUGCUGUCACUUAUAGAUGGAUCCGCGCUGCAUUAGCUAGUUGGUAAGGUAACGGCUUACCAAGGCAACGAUGCAUAGCCGACCUGAGAGGGUGAUCGGCCACCCUGGAACUGAGACACGGUCCAGACUCCUACGGGAGGCAGCAGUAGGGAAUCUUCCGCAAUGGGCGACAGCCUGACGGAGCAACGCCGCGUGAGUGAUGACGGUCUUCGGAUCGUAAAACUCUGUUAUUAGGGAAGAACAUAUGUGUACGUAACUGUGCACAUCUUGACGGUACCUAAUCAGAAAGCCACGGCUAACUACGUG
rnacentral:rRNA from 1 species